UACGAAGGGGGCUAGCGUUGUUCGGAUUUACUGGGCGUAAAGCGAGUGUAGGUGGUUGUCAUAGUCAGGUGUGAAAGCCUUGAGCUCAACUCAAGAAAUGCACUUGAUACUGGGCGACUAGAGGACCGGAGAGGAUAGUGGAAUUCCCAGUGUAGUGGUGAAAUACGUAGAGAUUGGGAAGAACACCAGUGGCGAAGGCGGCUAUCUGGACGGUUUCUGACACUAAGACUCGAAAGCGUGGGGAGCAAACAGG
rnacentral:rRNA from 1 species